rnacentral:rRNA from 1 species
CUACGGGAGGCACCAGUGGGGAAUAUUGCACAAUGGGGGAAACCCUGAUGCAGCGACGCCGCGAAGGAUGACGGAUUUCGGUCUGUAAACUUCUAUCAGCAGGGAAGACAGUGACUGUACCUGACUAAGAAGCCCCGGCUAACUACGUGCCAGCAGCCGCGGUAAUACGUAGGGGGCAAGCGUUAUCCGGAAUUACUGGGUGUAAAGGGUGCGUAGGUGGCGAGUUAAGUUAGAUGUGAAAGCCCGGGGCUCAACCUCGGGACUGCAUUUAAAACUGGCUUGCUAGAAUACAGGAGAGGUAAGUGGAAUUCCUAGUGUAGCGGUGAAAUGCGUAGAUAUUAGGAGGAACACCAGUGGCGAAGGCGACUUACUGGACUGUUAUUGACACUGAGGCACGAAAGCGUGGGGAGCGAACAGGAUUAGAUACCCUCGUAGUC